rnacentral:rRNA from 1 species
UGGGGAAUUUUGGACAAUGGGCGAAAGCCUGAUCCAGCAAUGCCGCGUGUGUGAAGAAGGCCUUCGGGUUGUAAAGCACUUUUGUCCGGAAAGAAAUGGCUCUGGUUAAUACCUGGGGUCGAUGACGGUACCGGAAGAAUAAGGACCGGCUAACUACGUGCCAGCAGCCGCGGUAAUACGUAGGGUCCAAGCGUUAAUCGGAAUUACUGGGCGUAAAGCGUGCGCAGGCGGUUGUGCAAGACCGAUGUGAAAUCCCCGAGCUUAACUUGGGAAUUGCAUUGGUGACUGCACGGCUAGAGUGUGUCAGAGGGGGGUUAGAAUUCCACGUGUAGCAGUGAAAUGCGUAGAGAUGUGGAGGAAUACCGAUGGCGAAGGCAGCCCCCUGGGAUAACACUGAC